GCUUCUUCAUCUUCAUAAUAUAUUCUUUAAUUAUGAAGUAUGCAAGUAGAUUAAAAGUAGAACAAUCCACUCAAUCACCUUCAUUAACUUUAAGUGAGUGGCACUAUAUGUGGGAAGACUGAAGAGUCAAUUUCCCUUGAAAUAAUAUGUCACAGGGUUUGUGACUCCGAAAGUAAAGCAAAUCCAUAUUUUUCAUCACAAUGGGUCAUUUUUACACCAAUAGCAAAGAGGCAGGUACUCAGCCUAGUACUUUAGACACCAAGAAAACUACAGUGGUGCCUCGGUUCCCAAAAUCACCUGUCUCCAGGAUUCUUGUUGCAAACCAGAUGUGAUUCUGGUCGUAAACCAAACUGGACAAAAAUCCAAUCAAAUUUCCCCACAAAGUCAAUAUUGGACACAACCAAUGCAUUUGAUUCAGUCAUCAUCCAACUCAGUUUGCCUCCAGGAUCAAGAGGAAAAAUGAGGAUCGUGAAGCGAGGUACCACUGCAGAGACCAAGGAUUAUUGUUUGUAUUUACACUGUUGACCAGAAUUCCAGAAGAGCCAGAAAAUCAAUGAAUUAAAA
rnacentral:lncRNA from 1 species